CCCGCUGAACUUAAGCAUAUCAAUAAGCGGAGGAAAAGAAACCAACAGGGAUUGCCUCAGUAACGGCGAGUGAAGCGGCAACAGCUCAAAUUUGAAACCUGCCAACCGGCCGGAUUGUAAUUUGUAGAGGAUGCUUUGGGGUUGGCUCUGAUCUAAGUUUCUUGGAACAGAACGUCACAGAGGGUGAGAAUCCCGUACGUGGUCGGUUGCCUUCUCUAUGUAAAGCUCCUUCGACGAGUCGAGUUGUUUGGGAAUGCAGCUCAAAAUGGGUGGUAAAUUUCAUCUAAAGCUAAAUAUUGGCCAGAGACCGAUAGCGCACAAGUAGAGUGAUCGAAAGAUGAAAAGCACUUUGGAAAGAGAGUUAAACAGCACGUGAAAUUGUUGAAAGGGAAGCGCUUGCAAUCAGACUUGCACGUAGGUAAUCACGAGUGGUUCGCUGCUCUGCACUUGCCUACGUUCAGGCCAGCAUCAGUUCUAGGGGUGGGAUAAAGGCCGUUGGAAUGUGGCUCUUCGGAGUGUUAUAGCCUUCGGUGCCAUGCCGCCUCCCGGGACUGAGGACCGCGCUUCGGCUAGGAUGCUGGCGUAAUGAUUGUAAGCGACCCGUCUUGAAACACGG
rnacentral:rRNA from 1 species